GACGAACGCUGGCGGCGUGCCUAAUACAUGCAAGUUGAGCGAUGAAGAUUGGUGCUUGCACCCAUUUGAAGAGCAGCGAACGGGUGAGUAACGCGUGGGGAAUCUGCCUUUGAGCGGGGGACAACAUUUGGAAACGAAUGCUAAUACCGCAUAACAACUUUAAACAUAAGUUUUAAGUUUGAAAGAUGCAAUUGCAUCACUCAAAGAUGAUCCCGCGUUGUAUUAGCUAGUUGGUGAGGUAAAGGCUCACCAAGGCGAUGAUACAUAGCCGACCUGAGAGGGUGAUCGGCCACAUUGGGACUGAGACACGGCCCAAACUCCUACGGGAGGCAGCAGUAGGGAAUCUUCGGCAAUGGACGAAAGUCUGACCGAGCAACGCCGCGUGAGUGAAGAAGGGUUUCGGAUCGUAAAACUCUGUUGGUAGAGAAGAACGUUGGUGAGAGUGGAAAGCUCAUCAAGUGACGGUAACUACACAGAAAGGGACGGCUAACUACGUG
rnacentral:rRNA from 1 species